AUCAAAAUAUUUCAAAUUUUAUAAAAUUUCACAAAUUCAAACUACAAAACCGGCCGGGCCCGAUAACCGAAAAGCCGGCCGGUUUAUCCGGUUCGCCGACCGGUUUCUCAAACCUUGGUCCCAAUGUACCGGAUCCUUACAAGAUAGCCUAAUGCAACCCGCUAAAGCUCGGACGCAACGCCGCUAGCCCUCUACCACCGGCAUGGGCCCAAAAUCAUCUGCCCCUUUCGAGGUCCACUUGUCUGUCACGGUCUCUCACGGAGGCCGUAUGCUCUCGGCGAGUCUUAUCACCCCCCCUGACCUCGUUCUAAUCCACACGAGACGAGGUCGAGGACUCUAGCACGACUCCAACUGCCACGCGAGCUGCGAGCGGCGAGCCUCAUCAAUCGAUCACACGCGACGCGAGUACGAGUACGAGUAUACGGCCACGAGCAGACGAGCUCCUCCGCCACCAGUGUCAUCGCGCAGCCUCGCGCUCGUCCAUGGCGUCCGUGUACACGGCGCCGCGCGCCCCGCUCCCGACGGUGGCGUCCUCCUCGUCAUCCGCGCGGCAGGUGGAUCCGAACCCUAGUGGAAGCCGCUUCCUCGCCGGGCGGCGCCUCCGCGUCGUCCGCCGCCUCGCCGGCGCGGCCCCGUCGCGGCGCGCUCCGUGGGUCUGCUACUCCGCGCGUAGCCCCGACGCGGACGCCGGCGAUGAGCAACGCCGGCGGGGUUGGGACGCGAUGCUCCACGACGCCUUCCAGGGUGCCGUGCGACGGUGGAGCGAGUACGUCAGCAAUUACUGGCCCCUACCGCCCUCUGUGAAGGAGGCGGGUACGGGGAAGAGGGUUGGGAGUUCUUACGAUGAGGAGGUGAUGAAUGGGGAUGAAGAGGAGAUGAAGGUUGGGGAGGAAGAGGGAAAGUGGAGCUGGGAGAGGUGGAAGCGGCAUUUUGCUCUCAUUGAGGAGAGCGAGCGUCUCGUUGAUGAGCUCCAGUUGCAACUCCAGGCGUCUGUUUAUAGAGAAGACUACAGAAGUGCUCAUAAGCUGAGGCUAGCUAUUGCUACUAUAGUGAAAAAUGACACUGUGGGUAGAGCUGUCUCUGACUUAAAUAUGGCCAUAGAUGAGGAACGCUACAAGGAUGCAGCAUAUAUCAGAGAUCAUGCUGGCACAGGACUGCUGGGGUGGUGGUCUGGAAUUUCCGGAAAUUUGUCCGAUCCAUAUGGUCUUAUAAUUCGUAUAAGUGCUGAACAUGGUCGAUAUGUGGCAAGAAGUUAUGAUACAAGACAGCUGACUUCUGACAGCUCUGGUCUCCCUAUAUUUGAAAUAUACUUUGCAGAGGCAAAUGGUGGAUACAACCUGCAGGCAGUGCAUCUGAAACCAGAUGAUAGUGAUUCUGACCAAGUGCCAAACAUGUUAAGGGAGAAACUUGGCAUGGACAGUAUAAAUAUAUCUAGCAGUUCAGUAGGGUCUAAGCAUGAAGAAUUCGAUGGAAGUGUAAACAUGGAUGAUAAAGAUAGUGAUGAUAGCAACAUUGAUGCUGGCCCUGGUUCGAAAGACUUGUCAAGCGAUCCAACUGCAGUUCCCAGGAUUAAAAUCUUGAAAGUGGUACCCAUGCAGAAUGUUGACAAAGACUACAUAAUCAAUAUUUUUGAUCAGAUUUCAGAGGAAAAUGAUGAUCCUGAAGUUGAAAAUGAAUCUUCAGAAGAUGCUGGUGAUGAAGAUAACAGUGGAGUAGCAGAAACAGUUUCUGCAGAAGAGAACGGUGAUGAAUCUGGUGACGAAAGUGAUAUUGAACCCUUGGUUUCAAUUGAUUUUGUCAUUGAGAAUAACGAUGACUAUGCUUCUCAUCCAUCUGCUGAAGCUUUUGAACGAAUGCCAGCUAGAUUAGAAAAAAGAGACCGCUUCUCGUUUUCCUUCUAUACUGAAGAAUAUAGUAAAAAACUAGAUGCUGGAAAGGCCCAGCAGACUUCAAAGAAAACAGUUCGUUUGCAUACCGAUCAGCAGGAUUAUGAUGGUUUUGUUGAGCUUGAUCGUGUAAAGUUGAGCGGCAGCAACAAAAAACUUUCGAUACUACAACUUGGCAUCAAACGAAAUAACAAGGUUCAGAAAAAACUGCAUGGAGUUACCCACUUUAGUCGUAUUCAGAUGCCUAUAUCUUCAGAUCCUCUUACCGGUUGUUUUCCGUGCAAAAGUUGGUGAACACUAUCGGCUCCCUCAUAAGGGAAUUAUCCCUAGAGAACUUGGAGUGAUUGCUAGGUACAAGGGGCAAAGGAAAAUUGCAGAUCCUGGUUUCCAAAACCCUCAAUGGGUUGACGGGGAGCUUUUGAUACUAGAUGGAAAGUUCAUCAGAGAUGGUCCUGUGAUAGCUUUCUUUUACUGGACAUCUAAUGUUCAUCUUUUCGAAUUCUUUAGACAGUUGAAGCUUCCUGACUAGUUCCCUUCUAAAAGUAGUUAAAGUGUUGCUAGCUAAUAUGCUUGCAUGACACACAAUCCAUGACCAGAAAGUUGAUGCCUGAAGGUUUUAGCAGGCCAUUAUAAUUUCAGCAUAGCUGCGUUUGGAGCCAACCGGAGUUGCCUGGCAUCGAGUACAGAUUCUGAUGUGGAGAACAGGGCGCCUGGCAUGAAUCAGUGGCAUCUCCACCCAACUCUGAUAGCUUGCCACAAGGGUGGAAAAGAGAUCGCAGUCGCAAGAGGAAUAUCAUCCUGCCAACAUGGGUGAGCCGCGGGCGCAUCAUACUUACUAAUUACGUUUCUCCUCUGCUCGUCCACCGCCAGUUUCUGUGUUUCUCAUAGCAAGUAGAACUAAAGCACCUCAAAGAUGUAAAGUUAUGUAUGCAGUCGCAAAUAGUUUAGGAUUUUGAGCACAUAUUGAUAAUUUUUAUACAUGGAGAGUCAGUAUGUAUGUGAAAUAGUACGAGCAAGAGUUUUGUGCAGCGUGAUCAAGCUGUGGCCAUAA